GCUCCUGCAUCUAGCUCAGCCAUGGGCCUGGAUCUGCGUUCCUUCUGUCCAAUGCCUCAGGUUCAUGCUGUUAAAUCCACAACACUGCUGUAACCUCACUUCACAACAAAGAAUCACCAUUCUCUGCGGCCAUCUUGCCUCCACCAACGCUGUCACCAUGAGGUGUGCGCUUGUCCAACCUUAUCGAUAACAGCCACCACUGGUUCCGCAGGGUUCUGCACUGGGACCAAACUCACUGCUAUCGGAAGCCCAGGCCUGGCCGCAGCCCUGGAGCCUCGGCUCAGCCUGCGGGUGUGGACCAGGGGAUUAAGCCUGUGACCUGCUCUUCGCUUGCCGGGAGACUUCGAGCUAAGGUGGAGCCAUUGCCAUUUAGUACUUGGCAUUGCUGCAGCUGCUACUGAAUACUGCCUCCUUCAACAUUUACUUGGCCAUGCUGCUCCGUGGGCCCACUCUCGCCAAUUCCGCCGCUGACAUUGCUGUAACCAAGGCGAAAAGGAUUCAAAAAUGGAUUCAAUCUGAAAUCUUGAAAAAAGACCUCAGCAUCUGGAUCUCCACUGUGCCAUCUGGAUGCAUCGCCACCCAUCAUCAUGGUCUGUCAGCAGGAGGCCACUUCCAAGCAACUGUCCUGUCUCCUACUGUCUUUGAUGACCUACUUGUUGACUGGAAAAUCCUAAUUGGCCUUUGACAGUUGGCUUCGUGACCUUUAACUGUGUGCAUUGGCUAUCUGCUGCUUGAAGCUCGGAUACCCAACCCCAUCCUGCCCCAGGAAAAUGACCCUGAACAAGGCGGAGUUGGCGAACCAGCAUGCUGACCAGCAGCACAAAAUUCUGAUGCCUCUACCCCAUUGUAUUUGCACAGUGAGUGGAACCAGGAUUGUACUAAAGUGUUCUCUCCAACUCCAUCACACUCCAUCAGAACACCUCAACUCCUGCUGACAUCCUCAACUAGGACUCACCUGAGGACCUGUUAAACAAGUGACCAAAACCUCAAUCUGACUGAAAGAAGAGAUUCCUAUGGAGGUAUCCAAAAUAUUUAGGGUGAAUGGAAGGUCAUUGAUGAAGCAACUGAAGAUGAUUGAGCCUGGGUCACCAUCUUGAGGAACUCUUGCAGAGACAUCUUGG